rnacentral:rRNA from 1 species
UACGUAGGGGGCAAGCGUUGUCCGGAUUUAUUGGGCGUAAAGAGCUCGUAGGUGGUUUGGUAAGUCGGAUGUGAAAUCUCCAGGCUCAACCUGGAGGGGUCAUUCGAUACUGCCAUGACUAGAGGUCGGUAGGGGAGUGUGGAAUUCCUGGUGUAGCGGUGAAAUGCGCAGAUAUCAGGAAGAACACCGGUGGCGAAAGCGACUCUCUGGCCCGUAUCUGACGCUGAAGCGCGAAAGCUUGGGUAGCAAACGGG